AUGCUCACUUCGGCAGCACAUGUAAUAAAAUUGGAACCAUAGAAAGAAAAUUAGCAUGGCGCCUGCACAAGGACAACAUGCAAAUUUCUGGAGCAUUUCAGAUGUUU